AAAUGAUGAUCUAAAAUUGCAUCAAUAUAACGAAGGGCAGAUUUAUCGAACUCAACGGUCUUUAAAACUUUUUCCACAUGAGCAGGAUGCUCUAAUAAAACCCUGCUCAAUUCAUCUAUCUCUACAUGGAGUUAGCAUAAUUGUAAUGACUAAAUUGACUCACCCUUAUCCAAAUCAAUAGAUCCAGAUUCCAUUUUGCCAGAAAAUUGGCUACUGAACACUUAC